GUUGGUGACUUUAACAGAGGUGGAAAGUGUUGGAAGAAGCAGCCUAAAUGUGUAAUAAGAAGACUGGAGGCUGAACACACUGAAGAACAAAGUGAUUGAAGCACCUUACCUAAGACAAUAUAAAUAUAAAAUCAAAGAAGAAAUGACGAACAGGAGGAUGUAAAGCAGCACUGUGAUCACCACGCCAAGAAUGCCUGGCUGCACGGUUCUUACAAACAUCCAGUAGAGCUUCGCGGCAUCCGCCACAGGAGUCUCCUCAUUAUCUGUAAGCCGCUGACAAAAGCAAAUUCAGAUUUGAAAAACUCAGAAUGGGAACACUGAUCACCAAGUUAGGUGAAUGUAAAGAUACAAAGACUAUGUGACCCUAUAAUUUGUUUUAGAAUUAAAUCUUCUAGGUACUGAAGAUUGCCAGCUUUUCAGGUGCACAAAGGAAAAGAAAAAAGGCUGGGUUUUGCAUGCUACUUUACCAGGUUUUUCUCAUCUUCCCUCUAAGCCUUUACAUGCACACACUCGACAUGCAAUUCAUAAAGUAAAAGCCAUGUUUUAUUUAUGUACUAUUAACUUCUGAAUUUAAUGAGCACAAGACAUGAAGAAAUUAAAUAUGAUGGUGAAAAGAG